CUUGCAUAUAUAAGAGGUCCAGCCUGCCCAGUGACUUAGUUCAACGGCCGCGGUAUCCUAACCGUGCGAAGGUAGCGUAAUCACUUGUUCUUUAAAUGAGGACUCGUAUGAAUGGCACCACGAGGGUUACACUGUCUCCUUUCUCUAAUCAAUGAAACUGAUCUCCCCGUGAAGAAGCGGGGAUACACAUAUUAGACGAGAAGACCCUAUGGAGCUUCAAACUAUACAGCACUGGCUUUUAUCUUUUUCCACUUCAGAUUUUUUAAUUUUAUUCUAGCCUUUUGACUAUUAGUUUUAGGUUGGGGUGACCACGGAGCAAAAAUUAACCUCCACGAUGAACAGACCAACUCUUGAGCUAAAAGCCACAACUUUAAGCACCAAUAAACUGACACAAAUUGACCCAAUAUUUUGACCAACGAAC
rnacentral:rRNA from 1 species